CUCAGUCUCGCCUCUGGUGUAACAAAAGAAAGAUAAACGCUCAGCAUUUCUAGAUCGAACUAGUAACCGAGAACUGCUUUUCAAUGGCGUUUCAUGUCCGGCGACUCCCUGGAUGGUAUUUGAGUUUUAGCAGUGGCAGGUAUCGUUUGCCCCACUUUAGUUCGCUCCUUUCUGUAUUCCGAUUUUCAACUAUUAAUGGUAUUCCCGAUUCCUCAAUAAAUGAUCCGUCAUUUCAUCAAACACACAACCGGUGUAACGUCGACGAGCGUCGCGUUCUUACUGAACUCUCCGACUUGUUUCAGCUUUCUCAUAUCAACACGACUAUUCCACUGUAUCCAUAUAAGGAGAGUUAUCCGGUGAAACAAAUAGAAAGUAGAGACGUUGAUGAAUUUUUAUUGCCCGAAGAGAAAUUGCGAGGGAUUUUUCUGCAAAAGUUGAGGGGUAGAACUGCAAUAGAAAGUGCUCUGUCAAAUGUUAGCGUGGAAUUAAGCAUCGAUCUUAUUGCUAAGGUCGUAGAUAGAGGGAAUUUAGGCGGUAAAGCUAUGGUUUUGUUUUUCAAUUGGGCAAUCAAGCAGCCAGGGAUACCAAGAGAUGCUCACAGUUACUACAUAAUCAUUAGAGCUUUAGGUAGAAGAAAAUUUUUCGAGUUCAUGAUUCAAGUCCUGCAUGAUAUGGUGAAAGAUGGCGUAAAACCUAAUUUGGAGACAGUUUCAGCUGUAAUGGACAGUUUCAUUAGGGCCCGGCGUGUACAUAAAGCUUUGGACAUGUUUGAGAACUUAGAAGAGUUUGGAUUGACGCCAGAUACUGAGUCUUUGAAUGUGCUUUUACUGUGUUUGUGCCGUAGAACUCAUGUAGGUGCUGCAAAUUCGUUGUUCAAUGCAGUGGGUGGGAAGAUAAAGUUUAAUUGUGUGACAUACAAUAUCAUGGUAAGUGGAUGGUCGAAAUUAGGUAGAGUUAGCGAAAUGGAGAGGACAGUGAAAGCAAUGAUAGCAGAUGGAUUUACUCCAGAUUGUUCAACUUUCAGUUACCUCAUUGAGGGCUUAGGAAGAGCAGGGCAGAUUGAUGACGCCGUUGAGAUUUUUGAUCAUAUGAAGGAGAAAGGCUGCAUUCCAGACACUAGAGUUUACAAUGCAAUGAUUUCUAAUUUUAUUUCUACACAGAAUUUUGAUGAAUGUAAGAAAUAUUACAAGGCUUUGCUGGAAAGUAACUUUGACCCUGAUUUGCAUACUUACACGAAACUGAUAUCUGCUUUUCUCAAAUCUCAACAAGUGGCUGAUGCUCUUGAAAUUUUUGAAGAGAUGUUAGUUCAGGGGAUUGUCCCCCCUACAGGGUCUUUAACCUCUUUCAUUGAACCUUUAUGCAGUUAUGGUCCACCUCACGCAGCUAUGAUGAUCUAUAAGAAAGCAAGAAAAUUUGGCUGCCAAAUAUCACUCAAUGCCUAUAAGUUAUUGCUCAAGCGGCUAUCCAGAUUUGGUAAAAGUGGAAUGCUGUUAAAUUUAUGGGAUGAGAUGCAAGAAAGUGGUCAUACUUCUGAUAUGGAAGUUUAUGAAUAUGUCAUUAAUGGUCUUUGCAACAUAGGGCACCUUGAAAAUGCUGUACAUGUUAUGGAGGAGGCUUUGCGCAAGGGGUUUUGCCCAAGCAAGAUUGUAUGUAGCAAAUUAAAUAACAAACUACUUGCUGCAAAUGAUGUUGAUAAGGCUUACAAGCUAUUUUUGAAGAUUAAAGAUGCUCGCCGCAAUGAAAAUGCUCAGAGAUAUUGGCGUUCUAAUGGCUGGCAUUUUUGAGUCGCACAUUUAUACGUAAUUCAGGCAAGUAUACUUUGCCUUUGUACUUUGUCUAUUUUAUUAAACUAGCUUGUAUUGCUGAUGUAGUUAUUUUACUGGUAUUCCUAGAGCCUGUAUCUAAGGUUUCUUGCCUAGUAUGAAGACACUGCAUAUCAUUGAAAGGAGUAAACAUUGGCUUUUCUUUUACCUUCCAUCUCUAGUUUACUUCUCUUUUGUUGCAUUUCUGCUCUCAAUUACUCCCUCAACUCGAUAAUGUUCAUGCCUAUAUAGUAAGAAUAAUUGCUAUUGGUAACAUUAUCUGUUGAUUCUUGCCACUUUAUAUAGUAUUAUGUCUUUGUAAAUUUAUGGGUUUCAUAUCGCGAAUCAUUGGCAUUAUAAAAUAUUCAGUACCCUGAAAUUGGUGAACUGGAAACUGUCAUUUCAUGAAGUGCUGGAUGAGUUUAUGAAGUCUUGUUAGAAUACUCACUUCUCUGUCAGCUUGUAAUGUUUCAUUUUAUUCAUUUAAUUUUGAAGGAUUGUUCAAUGUUCACAGUGGGAGAGUUGUUUGCUGCUUAGUUCUUAUGGACAAGAUGUUGAAACCUGUUCUGAUCCAGCAUGUCACCCCAUUCAUGUAUUAGUGUAGCGGGCAGUGUCUUUAUCGAUUGCAUAUCUUUUGGAAAAGCGUUAUAGCUGUACUGAUUCUUGAAUUUCUUAAAUAGAGCAUGAUGGGCUAGUUGAACCAUAAUAUUAUGUGUAUAUGUGUCUGGGAAUUGAGGAGCUUCUAGUAGAACAAUGUUGACAAUCAAUUGUGAAGGGAGAUUUAGAUUAUGCCAAAAAGAAAAAGAAUGGAAAUGGGUAACCGAAGCUCUCAAAGUAGGUAGGGAUUAUGAAUUCAUGACCUUAUCUGUGCUGUCUGGCAUUUCAUUUGAAAUUUCAGGAUUUGGCAAUGAGUUCUCUGUCAAAGUGAAAAAUGUGUCAGUCUCUCAGAGAGGAAAAGUAUCUCCAGAUGGUAGCUCGACCUCUAAUUCCUCUUCCUAUUUGGAUGAAAAAAUGGGUAAUCUCUUCACUGCUGCUGGAUAUCUCAUUAAGAGUGAGUCUGCCUAUACACAGUGAAGAUGAAUCUGCCAGAAGUCCUUGUGACAAUCCUACUGAAAGAAACUCACUAGAAAGUCAAUCUCAACAAUUUUCUGAUGACCGUUUUGGAAAGAAUACAGAAGCAGAUGUAGAAACAAAUCAGUAUUGAAAAGUUUUGGUCAAUCAGCUUGGGGGACUGUUGAUAAUGACGAUGCAGACUGUGUGGGGAUUAGGUGUUUAAUCCUGUUAAUACCAAUGUGGCCUGAACUUCUUGAAGCAUUUUCCCCUGUUUUCAGCAUCUUGAUAAUUUAGGUUAUGUAGAUUUGUCAUUUGUGUAGAUUGCCAACACAUUUGACAUGUACCUUGUCUGGUGAUACAGAAAAAUGUAUAAUUUAGAUUAGAUAGAUUUGUCAUUUGUGUAGAGCUAAGAGCUCUCAGUCAGAAGGCUGGUUAUGAUCCAUUUUAGUCUGAUGGUAUGAGUUGCAGAUUGAAAUAUUUACUCAUGAUAUUUAAUCCCACAUGGCAGGGUGGGGACUCUGACAAGCACAAUGAAGUUUUUGGUUCAAGUGAUUUUGGUGUACGCCCAACAAGAACAGAAUCCCCAAGCGCAGAAAGCUUUUAUGAUGAGAAGUGUCCAUUCACAUUUCAAGACUGUUCUCAGCACUCCACUCUCCGAGUUUGGAAAUUCCCCUUCAAGUGAUCAGUUAUAAAGUUCCUCUAGGUUUGUUUCUAUCAGCAUGGGCGAUAGCGGAUUUUCACAGCAAUCUGAGAUACUCACUAGGUUUGUGACUCCAUAAGUAGUACCAGAGAGUUUGGCCAUGGAUUUUCUUUUGAUGACGCGAUCCAUUUGGCUCCAGUGGUUCAUUUAAAGUCCCAUCAGAUCAUCACAGCCCAAAGAAAGGUUCUUCUGAUAAUUGGAGUGCUUUCUAACUGGUAAUCUAAUGAAAAAUGGAGACCGGAAGAAGAGAAAAAAUUUUCUCUUCAAUUUUCCAUUUCUAGUGGUUUCUAAGUUUUUGGUUAGGUUUGCUGUUUGACUACCUUUCUCCAUAUGCUGUAUAUUCUGCUUGCAACAUGGAGUUGGUGCUUGUCUGGAUAUUUAUUAUAGAAAAAUAAUGAAUGAAUCAAGGCAGAUAUUUAUUAUAGGUUAAACUAA